GACGAACGCUGGCGGCGUGCUUAACACAUGCGAGUCGAACGGAAAGGCCCUGCUUUUGUGGGGUGCUCGAGUGGCGAACGGGUGAGUAACACGUGAGUAACCUGCCCUUGACUUUGGGAUAACUUCAGGAAACUGGGGCUAAUACCGGAUAGGAGCUCCUGCUGCAUGGUGGGGGUUGGAAAGUUUCGGCGGUUGGGGAUGGACUCGCGGCUUAUCAGCUUGUUGGUGGGGUAGUGGCUUACCAAGGCUUUGACGGGUAGCCGGCCUGAGAGGGUGACCGGCCACAUUGUGACUGAGAUACGGCCCAGACUCCUACGGGAGGCAGCAGUGGGGAAUAUUGCACAAUGGGCGGAAGCCUGAUGCAGCAACGCCGCGUGCGGGAUGACGGCCUUCGGGUUGUAAACCGCUUUCGCCUGUGACGAAGCGUGAGUGACGGUAAUGGGUAAAGAAGCACCGGCUAACUACGUG
rnacentral:rRNA from 1 species